rnacentral:rRNA from 1 species
AUUGAACGCUGGCGGCAUGCCUUACACAUGCAAGUCGAACGGCAGCGGACCUUCGGGUGCCGGCGAGUGGCGAACGGGUGAGUAAUGCAUCGGAACGUACCUUUCAGUGGGGGAUAACGUAGCGAAAGUUACGCUAAUACCGCAUAUUCUGUGAGCAGGAAAGCAGGGGAUCGAAAGACCUUGCGCUGAUUGAGCGGCCGAUGUCAGAUUAGCUAGUUGGUGAGGUAAAGGCUCACCAAGGCGACGAUCUGUAGCGGGUCUGAGAGGAUGAUCCGCCACACUGGAACUGAGACACGGUCCAGACUCCUACGGGAGGCAGCAGUGGGGAAUUUUGGACAAUGGGGGCAACCCUGAUCCAGCCAUGCCGCGUGAGUGAAGAAGGCCUUCGGGUUGUAAAGCUCUUUCGGCCGGGAAGAAAUCGCACGGGCUAAUACCCUGUGUGGAUGACGGUACCGGAAUAAGAAGCACCGGCUAACUACGUGCCAGCCGCCGCCGUAAAAC